GAACGCACCUUGCGCUCCUUGGUAUUCCGAGGAGCAUGCCUGUUUGAGUGUCAUUAAAUUCUCAAUCUCUAUAUCUUUGUGAUGUUAGCGAUUGGAUAUGGGGGUACUUUGUGGGCCUUGAUUAGGUUCACUCCCCUGAAAUACAUUAGCUGGAAUGCCUUUGCAAACCAACUAUCAGUGUGAUAAUUAUCAGUACUGGAGUUGAUGCAUGAGGGAAUCUGCUAUCUAAUUGUCUUCUAGACAACCUGAAUAAAUUUGACCUCAAAUCAGGUAGGACUACCCGCUGAACUUAAG
rnacentral:misc_RNA from 1 species